rnacentral:rRNA from 1 species
UACAGAGGUCUCAAGCGUUGUUCGGAUUCAUUGGGCGUAAAGGGUGCGUAGGUGGCGGGGUAAGUCAGGUGUGAAAUCUCGGGGCUCAACCCCCGAAACUGCACUUGAUACUGCCUUGCUUGAGUACUGGAGAGGAGAUUGGAAUUUACGGUGUAGCAGUGAAAUGCGUAGAUAUCGUAAGGAAGACCAGUGGCGAAGGCGACACACUGGCCCGUUACUGACGCUGAGGCGCGAAAGCGUGGGGAGCAAACAGG